AUGCUUUGAUUUCUCUUCGGAUGUAUAAAUCUUUUGUCUUUUACUAAAGAUUUCUGUGGAGAGAACAACAAAAAUUAACGUAAAAGUGUGUAGGACCUGAACAUAGUAGUGGUUU